UCGACUUUUGUUUCUUCUUUGGGAGGUUUCUCGACUUUUCCUUUUUCCUCUGGAGGUUUCUCGACUAUUGUUUCUUCUUUCGGAGGUUUCUCGACUUCUGUUUUUUCUUUGCGAGGCUUUUCUGCCUUUACUUUUUCCUUUGGAGGUUUCUCGACUUCUAUUUUUUCUUUGGGAGGCUUCUCCGCCUUUACUUUUUCCUUUAUAGGUUUCUCGACUUUUACCUUUUCUAUGGGAGGCUUCUCCGCCUUUACUAUUUUUCUUUGAGGUUUCUUGAUUUUUAGUUU